rnacentral:lncRNA from 1 species
AUUUAUAAGAAGGUGAACCUGCUCAGGUGUUCCGGAACCCGCACCGCCUUCUCCUCAGCUCCACAGUGGACCUGCCUCCUGGCCUCAUCUUACCCCCUGUCUGGAGGCUCAUGGGUGUUCGUGAGCUGGGGCCACAGGGUGUCUUGAGUGACAAGACAGAUACGUUCCCCUUCCAUCUGUGGAUUUUGGUCCCCUCGUUCCUGGAUGUCUGGGGCCUUGCUGACCUGUGUCCCUGCAUGGAGGACAAUACGUCUUACUUGUGGAAAUCUGUGGAUGGAACAAAGUCUCCUUGUGAUGGUCAUUUCUGUGUUCGUGUGUCAAGCCUGAUGAACAGGAACCCCGGGUACCCUCUAAACUGUCUGCGACUGAGGCAGGUUGCUGCACGGUUUGGGGGCCGUCUCCUUCCAGGAAAUAGGAACAGUGACAUCAGGGGCUGUAAGGCUGGAGUAGGGACAGAGGUGAUUCCCAAUCUCAAGCAGCCCCUCCCAAGUCCCUCUUUCCUCACCGUCCUCAUUCAUCCUUUUUUUGCAACGCACUAUCAUUUUAAAUGACUCACUGCUAGAACGAAAGCUACUUUCCCCCCACAGUUAAACAUCCAGAGCCUAGCACAGUGCCUGGCACAUAGUAGGUGGUCAUUUAGUACCUGGCACAUAGUAGGUGGUCAUUUAGCAGCGAGGCCGGAAUGAGCCUGGCACUUAGAUGUGCCUGUUUAUUGCUUUCCUUUCUCCCCCUCCUUUGGGAUCCCCUUGCGUUACCUGGUUUGGAUUUGGACUACUUUAC